rnacentral:lncRNA from 1 species
AGAUAUUUUCAAGAUGGAUCCUGAUUUCAUUGAGAAUGAAAAGAAGUAUGAAGACCUGAAGAAAACAAUUCUUGGCGACGAAUCUGAAGAAGAAGAAGAAGAAGAAGAAGAAGGUGGUGGGGAGGAUUCAGAUGAAGAUGAAUCUUCAGAAGAAGAAGAAGAUGAAGAGCAAAUGAGAAUCAGAGAUGAAACAGAAACAAAUCUUGUCAAUCUUCGAAGAACAAUCUACCUAACAAUCAUGUCAAGUGUUGACUUUGAAGAAG